ACCUGAUGCAGCGACGCCGCGUGAGGGAUGACGGCCUUCGGGUUGUAAACCUCUUUCAGCAGGGAAGAAGCGCAAGUGACGGUACCUGCAGAAGAAGCACCGGCUAACUACGUGCCAGCAGCCGCGGUAAUACGUAGGGUGCGAGCGUUGUCCGGAAUUAUUGGGCGUAAAGAGCUCGUAGGCGGCCUGUCGCGUCGGAUGUGAAAGCCCGGGGCUUAACCCCGGGUCUGCAUUCGAUACGGGCAGGCUAGAGUGUGGUAGGGGAGAUCGGAAUUCCUGGUGUAGCGGUGAAAUGCGCAGAUAUCAGGAGGAACACCGGUGGCGAAGGCGGAUCUCUGGGCCAUUACUGACGCUGAGGAGCGAAAGCGUGGGGAGCGAACAGGAUUAGAUACCCUGGUAGUCCACGCCGUAAACGUUGGGAACUAGGUGUUGGCGACAUUCCACGUCGUCGGUGCCGCAGCUAACGCAUUAA
rnacentral:rRNA from 1 species